CUUUAUUGAGGUAGUGUACAUAGCAAACAUAAAAGUUAAUGUGCUCUUGUCUUGAGCACUUGAAGACUCCGCCUCUCAGAUCUGCUGCCUCGCUGACGUCACGCGCUCCGCCACAUUCAUACUCCACCCGCAGCAGCCAUGAUGCAAGAAGGGCUGGACGACGGUCCCGAUUUUCUUUCAGAAGAGGACAGAGGACCCAGGGCGGUGAAUGUGGAUCUUCAGACUGACGCUACACUACAGGUGGACAUUUCAGACGCUCUGAGUGAGAGAGACAAGGUCAAGUUCACCGUCCACACAAAGAGCACUCUACCUAAUUUCAAGCAGAAUGAAUUUUCCGUGGUCAGACAGCAUGAAGAAUUUAUCUGGCUCCACGACUCGUUUGUGGAAAAUGAAGAAUAUGCAGGAUAUAUUAUUCCUCCUGCCCCUCCGAGACCGGAUUUCGACGCUUCACGGGAGAAGCUCCAGAAACUCGGAGAAGGUGAAGGAUCGAUGACGAAGGAGGAGUUCACCAAGAUGAAGCAGGAACUGGAGGCUGAAUAUCUGGCCAUCUUCAAGAAGACUGUGGCGAUGCAUGAGGUCUUUCUGUGCCGCGUUGCUGCCCAUCCUGUCCUGCGCAAAGACUUGAACUUUCACGUUUUCUUAGAGUACAACCAAGACCUGAGUGUACGAGGGAAGAACAAGAAGGAGAAACUGGAGGAUUUCUUUAAGAACGUGGUGAAAUCUGCAGACGGGGUUCUGGUGGCUGGAGUGAAGGACGUUGAUGAUUUCUUUGAACAUGAGAAGACAUUCCUUUUAGAGUAUCACAACCGAGUCAAAGACUCCUCUGCCAAAUCCGACCGAAUGAUCAGGUCUCACAAAAGUGCAGCGGAUGACAUCAACAGAAUCGCCUCCACGCUCUACACUUUAGGAACUCAAGACUCCACAGAUCUGUGCAAAUUUUUCCUGAAAGUAUCAGAGCUUUUUGAGAAAACACGGAAAAUUGAAGCGCGUGUGGCGGCCGAUGAGGACCUGAAGCUUGCAGACCUGUUGAAGUAUUACCUCCGAGAGUCUCAGGCGGCAAAGGACCUGCUGUACAGACGAGGACGGGCAUUAGUUGAUUAUGAGAAUGCUAAUAAAGCGUUGGACAAAGCCAGAGCUAAAAACAAGGACGUCCUUCAAGCAGAAACCACACAGCAAGUGUGCUGUCAGAAGUUUGAGAAAAUCUCUGAAUCUGCAAAACAAGAACUGAUAGAUUUCAAGACACGGCGAGUAGCAGCGUUCAGAAAGAACCUGGUGGAACUGGCAGAGCUGGAACUCAAACAUGCCAAGGGGAAUCUACAACUGCUGCAGAGCUGCCUGGGAGUCCUGAAAGGGGACACUUAGAUGCCCAAGGUGGGCUCUCGAUAGAGGGCUUGGUCCCUGCUUUGGUCUCGUCUUCAUUCAGAAGAUGGAGGAGAGAACAUAUAAUGGGGUCAGUUUGUCUAAAGAGACGUCUGUACUCACCACUACCAGAGACACCACACACUCCCUCCACAAACCCCUACAGAGAGGCAGUCCACUGUGGAAGAUCCACACGAUACACGGCUUCAUUUAUUCACACCUUUUUGGCUUUUAAUUCUUCAUCCUUUCUCCAUGGGGUUCGCUUUCGUCACUCUUUGUUUCUUGUCUGGUUUAACGCUUUGUUUCUGUUUUUUUGUUUUGCUUGUGCUUUGUUUGUUUGUUUUGGUCAGUUUUGUUACACUUGUUUUGUUAGUUUGUUUUGUUUUGCUUUUUUUGUUUUUUGUUCCACUUUUCCCCCCCAAUUUGUUUGUUCGUUUGUUUGUUUUUUCAGUUUUGUUAACACUAGUUUUUUGUUCUAUUUUGUGCUGCUUUUCUGUUUUUUAUUCCACCUCAUUUUCCCCUAAUUUUUUUUACUUGUUUGUUGUUUUUCUCUAUUUUGUUAACCCCUUGUUUUGUUAGUUUUUUUUUUUGUUCAGUAUUGUUUUGCUUUUUUGUUCCACUUAUGUUUUUUUACUCAUUUGUUUUGCUCCGUUGUUUUUUUUGUUUUGUUGCGUUUGUUUGUUUGUUUGUUUUUUCAGUUUUGUUAACACUUUUAGUUUUUUUAUUUGUUUUACUUUAUUGUGCUUUUUUUUAGUGUUUUUGUUCCACUUUUUUCUCUAAUUUGUUUCGCUUGUUUGUUUGUUUGUUUGUUUGUCCAGUUUUGUUGCACUUGUUUUAGUUUUUUCAGUUUUGAUAGCACUUUGUUAGUUUUUUUUGUUAUGUUUUUUUUCUAUAUUGUUCUGCUUGUUUUUUUGUUCCCUAAUUUGUUUCGCUUGUUUGUUGUUUGUUUGUUUUCAGUUUUGUUUUAUUUUGUUCCGCUUGUUUUUGUUUUAUUUUGGCUCUGUUUUGUUAUUAUUAUUAUUUUUUUUGCUGUUCUAAUUGUUGUUGUUUUGGUUUGUUUUUGGGUUCUAUUUUGUCCUGCUUUUUAUUUUUGUUAUUUGGUUCCACAUGUAAAUUUUUUUCUAUAUUGUUCUAAUUGUUGUUUGUUUGUUUUUGGUUCUGUUUUGUUCCUUGUUUAUCUUGUUUUAUUGUUGUUUGUUUAUUUUUGGUUCCUAUUUUAUGUAUCUUGUUUUUUGUUUGUUUUGUUCUGCUUGUUUGUAUUGCAUGUUUGUUUGUUUGUUUUGGUUUUAUUUUAUUUCUCGUUUUUCUUUGUUAUAUUGUUGUUUGUUUGUUCUGUUUUUGUUUUGUUCUACUACUUUGUUCCGCAUGUUUUUUGUUUGUUUGUUUUUCCCCUCUGUUGUAAUCUUUAAAGUUAGUUUUUGGUGAUCUGUGUGUGGACGCUGCUCUGAUAUCUUGUUCAAGUUGAGCUGAUUGUUAUUACGAUUAAAGUGUAUGGUCACUCAAAAGCCUUGUACAUGUGUUAGUUUUCAUCGUAUAGCUUCUAUAUGGAUCAUCGUAAUCAGACUAAUUUUUCUUUGUUUUCAUUCCUGAUGAAUAACGCUUUGGUAUGUUUGCCUUAAUGUAGAAUCAUAUAUUGUUUAAAAAGAAAAGAAAAAAAGAUUAUACAUGGAUGCAUUUUUUUUUCUCUCCAGAUUUUUUUUAAAGUGCACUGUAUAUGAAUGUUGUUUUUCACGAUAUGUGACCAAAGCUUCCAUUUAUUCAGAUGGAGGAAUGCUGAUAUAAACGCUGGUGAUAACAAUGAUAAAAUGACCAUGAAAAUAACUAAAUAAAUGAUGCUGUUUACUUUAA